CCUACGGGAGGCAGCAGUGAGGAAUAUUGGUCAAUGGGAGAGAUCCUGAACCAGCCAAGCCGCGUGAGGGAGGAAGGUACAGAGUAUCGUAAACCUCUUUUGUCAGGGAACAAAGACUGGGACGCGUCCCCGGAUGAGUGUACCUGAAGAAAAAGCAUCGGCUAACUCCGUGCCAGCAGCCGCGGUAAUACGGAGGAUGCGAGCGUUAUCCGGAUUUAUUGGGUUUAAAGGGUGCGCAGGCGGUCUGUUAAGUCAGCGGUCAAAGCCCGGGGCUCAACCCCGGCCCGCCGUUGAAACUGGCAGUC
rnacentral:rRNA from 1 species